rnacentral:sRNA from 1 species
AAUCAUUGCUGGUAGGUGAGGCUACUUUAAGGAUACGGAUUACUGCCGUCACUUUGUGGAGACAAAAAGUGUUUGGUUUGAAAAGUCUAAAUCGGAUCAAGGUUUAGAAUAAUGUAAUUUCAUUGCCUUAUUGAGCUAAAACUUAAACAUUGGCUUUUUAA